AUUGAACGCUGGCGGGAGGCCUAACACAUGCAAGUCGAACGAGUGGCGGACGGGUGAGUAAUGUCUGGGAAACUGCCCGAUGGAGGGGGAUAACUACUGGAAACGGUAGCUAAUACCGCAUACCAUCGGAUGUGCCCAGAUGGGAUUAGCUAGUUGGUGGGGUAACGGCGCACCAAGGCGACGAUCCCUAGCUGGUCUGAGAGGAUGACCGGCCACACUGGGACUGAGACACGGUCCAGACUCCUACGGGAGGCAGCAGUGGGGAAUAUUGGGCAAUGGGCGAAACCCUGAUGCAGCCAUGCCGCGUGUAUGAAGAAGGCCUUCGGGUUGUAAAGUACUUUUGGCAGAGAAGCGUUACUCGCAGAAUAAGCAUCGGCUAACUCCGUGCCAGCCGCCGCGGUAAUUC
rnacentral:rRNA from 1 species